UACGGAGGGGGCUAGCGUUGUUCGGAAUUACUGGGCGUAAAGCGCGCGUAGGCGGCUUUGUAAGUUAGAGGUGAAAGCCCGGAGCUCAACUCCGGAAUUGCCUUUAAGACUGCAUCGCUAGAAUUGUGGAGAGGUGAGUGGAAUUCCGAGUGUAGAGGUGAAAUUCGUAGAUAUUCGGAAGAACACCAGUGGCGAAGGCGACUCACUGGACACAUAUUGACGCUGAGGUGGCGAAAGCGUGGGGAGCAAACAGGAUUAGAAACCCU
rnacentral:rRNA from 1 species